AGUGAACGCUGGCGGUAGGCCUAACACAUGCAAGUCGAACGGCAGCACAGUAAGAGCUUGCUCUUACGGGUGGCGAGUGGCGGACGGGUGAGGAAUACAUCGGAAUCUACUUUUUCGUGGGGGAUAACGUAGGGAAACUUACGCUAAUACCGCAUACGACCUACGGGUGAAAGCAGGGGAUCUUCGGACCUUGCGCGAUUGAAUGAGCCGAUGUCGGAUUAGCUAGUUGGCGGGGUAAAGGCCCACCAAGGCGACGAUCCGUAGCUGGUCUGAGAGGAUGAUCUGCCACACUGGAACUGAGACACGAUCCAGACUCCUACGGGAGGCAGCAGUGGGGAAUAUUGGACAAUGGGGGCAAGCCUGAUCCAGCCAUACCGCGUGGGUGAAGAAGGCCUUCGGGUUGUAAAGCCCUUUUGUUGGGAAAGAAAAGCAGCAGGUUAAUACCCCGCUGUUCUGACGGUACCCAAAGAAUAAGCACCGGCUAACUUCGUG
rnacentral:rRNA from 1 species